ACCCCCUGAAAAAAAGGAAAAAGAUAAUAAAAGGAAAUGUGCCUACAGUGAAGGGACUGUAGCAGACAUAGUUUAUCACAACACCAGUAUAACAAAAGUAAUCACCGAGGUGUAAAACCUGUGCCUCAAAGAAACAACGCAAGAGGAGACCCUGACACGCACCGCGUGUCAAUCUGCUGUGGUAAGCAUGUUUACAUCCCAUGGUGUGGGCACCAGCAGCUCUACACAGGGUGUCCGACUUCCUGGGGCUCCUUUUCCUACUCAAGUCUUAAAAUCUCGUCCAUAGUCCCUUUUAAAAUAUCUGAAAUUGGGGGAAACAGGGAAGAAUCUAGAGAAUGGAAAAGGUGCAGAGACUGUGAAAUACAUUCAGUGAUGGAAUGUGGAUUCAAGAUACCAGUGAGGAAAAAACAGGCAGGCCUGACAGCAGUGAAAUGGUUGUCAGAUGGAACAGGUUUUGUAUGAACAAUGAGAAAUGGCUGUAUUAGGUCAAAGGGGAGGUUUGAAUGACACCUAGAAGUGCGCCCACUACUGGGAACUCAGGCUUUGGUGUAUAAGAAUUCGUAGCAUUUCAGGUGCUGGGUUCUAUUGUUCUAUAAAACUAGUAUGGUCUCUAUUCCCUUUCACUAGAAUGUCCAUUAUUUUCCAAGGGUGCCUACUAGAUAUUUUAGAUACUUUAGUGUUAAAAACAGCCUCGUGGUCUGUUCUUGCAAUGGAGAAGUGUUAACAAAAGGGUCAUCUGAUUUUUUUCCAGUGUGAAAUAAACAUCCUUUCAGAUACCUUAUCCUUUUCUAACAUAAGCCUCUACACCAAGGUUAUAUCACCAAGGACUCCAUCAAGAUAAAAAUCUGUUCAUCUAGAUGCAGGAAAGGAUUCUCCCUCAAGCUCAACAGACCUAAUUAACAAGCCUUUCACAAGGCUGUAUGCCUUCCUGUGACUCAUGGAGCACCAAGUUAAAAAAAAAAUCAGGAGCAAACAGUCAAGCCCAUUAAAUCAAGGAGCUAAAGAGAAUAUCUACAGUUGAAGCAUGAGCUUCUCUCAUAAAAUCUUACUACAUUCUGCUCUUAAAUGUGUAUUAUGGCAAGAAUGAUGCGAGAGGGAGAAUGGAGUGUUUUCCAUUUUACAAGAAAACUGCUAAAGAAACUCGGGUCUCCUAGAGAUGCUGGUGCCCACACCUGAGCAAGUACAGGUUCCAGCACACAAUGGCAUGCAGGCAACUUCCUCUCUGGCUGAUCUGUUACAUCAAGGAAGGGUGUUCUUGACUUUUAAUCCUGAAACUCUAAAAUGUUAUCAUCUUAACCAUUUUAUCAUAAAAAGAAAUUAAAACCUGCUGAAAAAAAUAUCACCCAUAAUUCUAGCACUCCGGUGAUUGUUUUUUAAAUAGCUACAAUCGCCUCCAACAUUUAAUAUAUACAGGCAGACAAAACCUGUUUUUUGAAAGAAUACUUUCUUAAAAACAUUACAUUGAUAGUUCUUACUUAUUUUUGCAUCUUAUCUUUACAGUUAUUCAAAGUUGAGAUGCCAUGUUGACCUUUAAUCAUGCAUAGCAUCUGCUAGUUAGCAUCUCCUAGCUAAAGGGAAAUCCCAGACCUUACUCCAAAAUCAAAGGACUUGGUCUUUCAAAAGACAAGAAAAAUUAGCUCUCUCUUUCUUACUUGUUAAAAAAGUGCUCAAUAAAUUUACUGAGCACUGCUUUUCAAAGCAUUCCCGUAAGUACUCUGAGAGGUGUUAAAGACAAAGUCCUUAACCAAACUAACAGUCUGGAGGAAGAGAUGAAAGUCGCCUCACAUAUGGCUUUUCCCAUAUGGAAAAGGUAUACUGUGAAAGUACAUAAUUAUUAACCCUUACAGAAAAUAGGGGGUUAUGUGUCAAUUUGUUUAAGGUAAUGUAGGAGAGAAAUAAAAUCAAAUUUAAUUUUUAGAAUCGAUUCUUCUAUUCGUCUAUUGAAUAAACAAGUAACUC